UGCUGGUGUCUCAGUGUCUGUUGAGCAAUGGUGUUGCCAAAGAAACCAGCAACUGUUAAACAAUGCAGCAUUUUGUGGCCUUGGGAAUAAAAAAAUGGAAAUAAAGCAUGCCGCAGCACAUGCUGGAAAGUGAGAGGAAAGGAUCGAAUUUAAAUAGAUAUUAGAUCUACAAAAGAACAGAUUAACAACACUCGCCGUCUUAACACCCCAGCCCUGCAAACUGAUUGGCAGUCAGGCCUCCCACACAAACACAUCAGUGUUAAAACUGCUCACUUUAGUUUGGGCUGACAUACAACAUGGUUUGGAAAAAGACUUAUGACUGACACUGCAGCAGGGUGACUUGUCAGGGUAACACCAGAAGAGUGGCACAUAGGUGGGUGAAGCCAAGAAAAAAAAUGGGCGUACAAUGCAACUGAGCACCAGUUGUUUUCUUGUGCUUUUAGUUGUCAAUCUGCAGCUUACUGCAUGUAGGCUGCCAGUCUGCACAGCCAGCCAUACGCAAACAAAAGUAAAUGUCAGAUGAGUAAACCCUUGCAUUUUAAGUAA